CCUACGGGAGGCAGCAGUGGGGGAUAUUGCACAAUGGGGGGAACCCUGAUGCAGCGACGCCGCGUGGGUGAAGAAGCGCCUCGGCGCGUAAAGCCCUGUCAGCAGGGAAGAAAAUGACGGUACCUGAAGAAGAAGCCCCGGCUAACUACGUGCCAGCAGCCGCGGUAAUACGUAGGGGGCAAGCGUUAUCCGGAUUUACUGGGUGUAAAGGGGGCGCAGACGGCGAUGCAAGCCAGGAGUGAAAGCCCGGGGGCCAACCCCGGGACUGCUCUUGGAACUGCGUGGCUGGAGUGCAGGAGGGGCAGGCGGAAUUCCUGGUGUAGCGGUGAAAUGCGUAGAUAUCAGGAGGAACACCGGUGGCGAAGGCGGCCUGCUGGACUGCAACUGACGUUGAGGCCCGAAAGCGUGGGGAGCAAACAGGAUUAGAUACCCCGGUAGUC
rnacentral:rRNA from 1 species